rnacentral:rRNA from 1 species
GCACAAGCGGUGGAGCAUGUGGUUUAAUUCGACGCGACGCGAAGAACCUUACCUGGGCUUGACAUGUAAGUGACCGGCGUGGAAACACGUCUUCCCUUCGGGGCACUUUCACAGGUGGUGCAUGGCUGUCGUCAGCUCGUGUCGUGAGAUGUUGGGUUAAGUCCCGCAACGAGCGCAACCCCCGUCGCAUGUUGCCAGCAUUUAGUUGGGGACUCAUGCGAGACUGCCGGUGACAAACCGGAGGAAGGUGGGGAUGACGUCAAGUCCUCAUGCCCCUUAUGUUCAGGGCUACACACGUGCUACAUUGGCGCAUACAGAGGGCUGCGAUACCGCGAGGUGGAGCGAAUCCCUUAAAGUGCGUCUCGGUUCGGAUUGCAGGCUGAAAUUCGCCUGCAUGAAGGCGGAGUUGCUAGUAAUCGCGGAUCAGCAUUGCCGCGGUGAAUACGUUCCCGGGC